CCUACGGGUGGCUGCAGUGAGGAAUAUUGGUCAAUGGCCGAGAGGCUGAACCAGCCAAGUCGCGUGAGGGAAGAAUGUCCUAUGGAUUGUAAACCUCUUUUGUCAGGGAGAAAAGUCACCCAUGUGUGGGUGUUGGAGAGUACCUGAAGAAAAAGCAUCGGCUAACUCCGUGCCAGCAGCCGCGGUAAUACGGAGGAUGCGAGCGUGAUCCGGAUUUAUUGGGUUAAAAGGGUGCGUAGGCGGGUUACCAAGUCAGCGGUGAAAUCGUGGAGCUCAACCCCAUCCAGCCGUUGAAACUGAUGAUCUUGAGUGGGCGAGAAGGAUGCGGAAUGCGCGGUGUAGCCGUGAAAUGCAUAGAUAACACGCAGAACUCCGAGUGCGAAGGGAGCAUACCGGCGCCCGAAUGACGCGGAAGCACGAAAGCGUUGGUAUCGAACAGGAUUAGAUACCCUAGUAGUC
rnacentral:rRNA from 1 species